GAUUGCAAUAGGCUUUCACUUACUGCCAGGUAGACUAGAUUUUUUAAUGGUAUAAAGAAUGGGAUCUUUGCCUUUAUUUUGUACUGGUCUGAAAACAUACUAAGGCAUUGCACUAUUAUAGCAUACAUUGCAAUCAUUUGUCUUCCACUGUGCUCUACUGAAUACUUUCACUGCAACCCUUUCCUUACAAAUAAUAGAAGUCUUUUGUGAGGACACAGUUGUUGAUAUUAGGACACUAAUAUCAUUAGAAAUUUGGAUUUACUUUAUGUGAAUAAGCAUAAUAUUGAAUCUCUCAUUUGCUCUGCUUCUGUAUCGUCAUGUUUGCAUUGCCAAGUUGCAAUAAAGACCUCAGACUUUUUAAUAAAAGAACUUUUGUCUUUAGUUUUACUACACUGAUAUCUGAAACAGCUUUAAUAAGAAAUCACUUUAUCUUUAAAAGACUUCUUUUUUCAAUUCAGAUCUUAAGUGAGAUAAGUAGUGAAGGGCUUUUUUUUUUCAUUCUGAAAUCUUUGUCUCUGCAAAUCAUUUGAGCAAAACCAAAUAAUUUUGUUCCCUGCAGAAAAUGCAACUUGAUGUUUGUGACUUAUAACUAGAGUUAAAAAUGGAGGACAUAUUACAUUGCUUAACAGGGAUCGUUUCUGAUGAUGAAAAUGUUCUUGCAUGUUUGCAAAUUUAUUACUUACUUGCAUCUAUUCAUAUUACUUUACUUGCAUCCAAAACUGCCAUGUUUUUCUUCCACACAUAAACACACACAGUGAGAUAAAGGAUUCUAUAAGUGUUAAUAUUGCAGAGUCAGCCCUUAAAACUAGAUGAAUGGGUGUGUAAUAAAGCCUGGGUGUGUCUCUUGUCUGAGUUUUAAAAACAGAUGCAGAAUGUUGACUAACAGGUUUUGAAGCCUUCUCUGUUCACGGACACCUCGUCUUUCACUUAAUUCCAUCAGCCUGAGUCAGUCGGUUGCCCUGACUAAAGUUCCUCCUCUUAUUGUCUUUAUCUUUUUCACUCAAGUAGCCCCUCCUGUUCUUAUUUGUAUACACUCACUUGCUGUUGUUGGGAAGUUUUCACCAGUCGUUCUAAACAAACCACAGAUUCAGCCAACCCUAUAGGCUGAGGAAGGCUGUUUCAGCGACAACAUCAAAAUUUGAUGGCCUCUGAUUAUAAAAUAAGAGCUUGAAAAUAAGGCUUGAAGGGCCAGCAGCAGUAGCAGUAUAAUGUCUGAGAAUCUCUGCUAUAUACCCAGGACCCUGGCCUUGUAGGACUUUAUAGUAUUAAGAUUAUUAAGACCCUCAAUCAGUCCAAGUAACUGAUGGGCCACAGCUUUCUCUCAACUGGUUGGGGGUGAAGUGAAGGAGACAGGACAAAGGCGACACCCUGGUUGUGUCUUUGCCGUGUAAUUUGUAUUUUACUGCUUGCAUUCAGCCUUUUUGCACUUCUUUCUAUGGUGACAUAUAUAAUCAUUGAUCCAAGGGAAAAGAUUGAUGGCUCGAGGUAAUCCAGAUUUUAAAGAGGCUACAUUAUCAAGAAAUGAUCUACACAGAUCAUUAAAUCAUUCAUGUAAAUCACUGAAACUUGAAAACCCAGGUGUUCAAAUGUACAAAUAGGAGAACAGAGCUGCUGAAUUCUCAUUAACAAUGCCAGAAUGAGUCUUAUGGGAACACAAAAUUAGUUAAGUUAUAUUUUGACAGUAAAUCAGACGUACAAAGGUUGUUUAAGGACAGGCCACAAGUAGAAACAUACUCCAGGGUGUGCUCACCGAUAAGAACAGGACUAUUAAGAAUAUUACAACUAGAGGAAAGAUCUAAGAAAGAAGAUGUGUAAGUUAAAGUCACCAACCAUAAUGAACUGGUCAAAUUAAAGAACAACAGAUGAAAACACAUUUGAGAGUUUAUUUAGGAAUUCAGAAGGGAAUUUAGGAGGAAUAAAAAGGAAUAAAAAUAUAAGAAGGGAGUAGAAAUUUGAUGAAAAUGUUACAGUCUCCUUCUGUGUGUUAUAAUUACAGAGUUUAGUAAAUGUGAUCAGAUUUUGAGGUCAGUGACUUAUCAUUUUGUCUCAAAUUGUGAUCACUGAGUAAUUUGGAUAAUAAGUACAACUUAGCAUAAGAUAGGGUACAGGGUGGUGAUAGUGUUGUGGACAUAGGAUAGCAACACAGUGGACUUAGUUUGUGAAGCCUGCAGAGAAAGCUGGCAGAUAAAACAGAACUACUCAUGGCUGAAAAGGGGAAGAAGGCUCCAGAGGCAGUCACGUGUAGCAAAAUGUACAAUAUACAGCAUGUUAACUGCUAGAAAUGAGCUAACUAACCGGUUGGGCCGGUUUUCAUCUGUCCUAAAAAGGAAGAACAGAUUAAAAUUGUCAAUAAAACCAUUGUAGAGAGCUUUGCAUUUAUUCUGAAGCCAGGUGUUGAGGCUGAGGAGCCUGCUAAAAUGCCCCACACUGUUUUAAGAGGUUAAAAAGCUCUUCCCAGUCAGCUCAGAGUGCGGACAAGCUUACCCUGAUCCUCAUUUCCCCAAGGUGUUAGGUUACUGUGAGGCAGGGAAGGGAAGGACAGGGUGUGGUGGAAGGGAGUAACCUUGUGGAAAUAUACUGAAAGGGACAAGUCCAUGACAACCAUGACAUCAUCUAUGCAUGUUUCUGUGUUGCCUUAUUAAAGAGAUGGAGGGAAUUUGGCUUGUUUGUCCAGCGUGAUGGAACAUUGAGGACCAUUCACUUCUCAGUGCAGGUUAUUUUUUGUCCUGGCAUACAGAAUUUACCUGUGUACAGUAGAUCUGCCUCAUGCUUAGAUUUACAUGUUGCUCAGAGUCAGGACAACUUAGUGCUUGAAUAGCAAAAGAUAUAGUUUCUUACUUCUACCGUGCCAGUCAGAGUGUGGAGUGUUUGUUACAGCUUGACACAACGCAGACUUACAAGACACAAAUGCUGCUUUCAUUUCUGAAAUGUGGUGGUUGCUGCACUGCAGGCAGCGUUGGAGUUUGCAAACAUCAUGUCAACACACCCAGCUGGAGCAAAUCCUCACUAAGGAAGUUUUAACCAGGAUACACACGGUCGCAAACAGGUGGAGCUCCUGCUGUUUCACCUGUUUUGAAAGCUGGUACUCUGCAGACUAACACCACAAGAAAAUUCAGGUCAACUUGACAUACAUCUACAUAAGAUGUUUUGAACCUCAGGGGCUAAGAUAACUUCUGCUGAUAUCUUGCUCUCUGCCUUCAUCACCUUCUUCUUCAUCUUGAAAGUACAAAUCCUACAGGCCAUGUCCGACCAGUUAUUCCAAAACCAA